GACGAACGCUGGCGGCGUGCUUAACACAUGCAAGUCGAACGGAAAGGCCCUGCGUUUGUGGGGUUCUCGAGUGGCGAACGGGGGAGUAACACGUGAGUAACCUGCCCUUGACUUUGGGAUAACUUCAGGAAACUGGGGCUAAUACCGGAUAGGAUCUCCUGCUGCAUGGUGGGGGUUGGAAAGUUUCGGCGGUUGGGGAUGGACUCGCGGCUUAUCGUCUUGUUGGUGGGGUAGUGGCUUACCAAGGCUGUGACGGGUAGCCGGCCUGGGAGGGUGACCGGCCACCUUGGGACUGAGAUACGGCCCAGACUCCUACGGGAGGCAGCAGUGGGGAAUAUUGCACAAUGGGCGGAAGCCUGAUGCAGCAACGCCGCGUGCGGGAUGACGGCCUUCGGGUUGUAAACCGCUUUCGCCUGUGACGAAGCGUGAGUGACGGUAAUGGGUAAAGAAGCACCGGCUAACUACGUG
rnacentral:rRNA from 1 species